CAAAUUGAGCACAAACCUGAGGAACCCAGGACAUGCACAGCACAUGGAUGGAGCCCACCUCUGAAUUGUAUUAGGAAAAAAUGUUCUCAACCUAAUCCACAAAAUGGAUACAUCAAAGAUCGGUACAAUUUUCCAAUAAGUCCGGAUGCUUAUUAUAAUUUGAUUUAUUAUCACUGUAAUUCUGGGUAUCUAUCUAAAGACAAGAAAGAUUACUAUGGAACAACAACUUGUACAAAUACUGGAUGGAAUCCUGAGCCAAAGUGUU